rnacentral:rRNA from 1 species
CACCUAUUAGCUAGCCCCACAAAUCAAAACCAACAAACAAACAUUAAUAACCCCAAACGCACAACAUUCAAAUUAAACAAACCAUUUUUCCCCCUUAGUAUGGGCGACAGAAAAGGGACAGUGGAGCAAUAGAGAAAGUACCGCAAGGGAACGCUGAAAGAGAAAUGAAACAAAUCAGUAAAGUAUAAAAAAGCAGAGACUAAACCUCGUACCUUUUGCAUCAUGAUUUAGCCAGUAACUUCCAAGCAAAGAGCACUUUAGUUUGUACCCCCGAAACUAAGUGAGCUACUCCAAGACAGCCUAUUAACAGGGCCAACCCGUCUCUGUGGCAAAAGAGUGGGAAGAGCUUCGAGUAGAGGUGACAGACCUACCGAACUUAGUUAUAGCUGGUUGCCUGAGAACUGAAUAGAAGUUCAGCCUCUCGGUUUCUCUCCCCAAUCUCCAUUUUUCCUGCACUAGCUUUACCCAACGCUAAAAGAAACCAAGAGAGUUAGUUAAAGGAGGUACAGCUCCUUUAAAACAAGAUACAACUUUCCCAGGUGGGUAAAGAUCCUAUUAAAUCCAAGGCAAAAUGUUCUAGUGGGCCUAAAAGCAGCCACCUAACAGAAAGCGUUAAAGCUCAGACAUUUUUGAUCCGCCUUAAAUCCCGAUAAUCCCAUCUUAACCCCCUAGCUUUACCAGGCCGCCUCAUGCACACAUGAGGGCGAUUAUGCUAAUAUGAGUAAUAAGAGAGCAUUAGACUCUCUCCACGCACAUGUGUACAUCGGAACGAACCCGCACCGAAUAUUAACCGGCCCCAAACGAAGAGGGAACUGAACUAUAAAAUUAAACAACUGGAAAAACACCCAAUAGUUUACCGUUAACCCCACACAGGUGUGCAAACAAGGAAAGACUAAAAGAAAAAGAAGGAACUCGGCAAACAUAAGCCUCGCCUGUUUACCAAAAACACCGCCUCUUGCAAGACCAAAGAAUAAGAGGUCACGCCUGCCCAGUGACAAUAGUUAAACGGCCGCGGUAUUUUAACCGUGCCAAGGUAGCGCAAUCACUUGUCUCUUAAAUGGGGACCUGUAUGAAUGGCAUGACGAGGGCUUGACUGUCUCCUUUUUUAAGUCAAUGAAAUUGAUCUCCCCGUGCAGAAGCGGGGAUAAAACCAUAAGACGAGAAGACCCUGUGGAGCUUUAGACACUAAAGCAGCUCUUGUUAAACAAACUAAGACAAAAGACCUAAACUUAUAGAACCCUGCCCUAAUGUCUUUGGUUGGGGCGACCAUGGGGAAGAAACCAACCCCCACGUGGAAUGAAAGAAUACCCUUUCACAAUUAAGAGUUACAACUCUAAGCAACAGAACUUCUGACCAGACAAGAUCCGGCAAUGCCGAUCAACGGACCAAGUUACCCCAGGGAUAACAGCGCAAUCCCCUUUUAGAGCCCAUAUCGACAAGGGGGUUUACGACCUCGAUGUUGGAUCAGGACAUCCUAAUGGCGCAGCCGCUAUUAAGGGUUCGUUUGUUAACGAUUAAAGUCCU